UUUCAACAAUUCGACAGACGUAUCUUUUUCAGCCAGUGCCGCCGUACACAACCCUAGCUGGUAACGAUCGUCAACAAUGUUAGAGGAAAAGAGGCGACGUGAUCUCAGGGGAACUGAAGAACGUACAUGUUACUCGAUCAUAACAUGUUGAGAAUUCAUAGGUUAUAACAGGGGAUAUUCAACCUUUGCAAUCAUAAACCUUUGUUCAAGGUAUCAUGAGGCUGCGAAAUGCUUGAAAGUCUUCCUGGGAAAGAUUCUUGGAAAGCAAGCAUGGGAUACUUGAUCCGCAAGACACAGUCUCCAGAUUGCCUGAAAAUGUACUUCAACAUAUCAUGUCUUUUCUUCCGCCAUUAGACAAAGAUAAUGUUCGUUUUCUAUCGAGAGAAUGGCGCCGACGAAAUGCGCAAAACCAAACAGUGCUCUGGCUGACUAAGCAGCGGUUAAACGAGUUGGAAUUUCCAAAGGUUUUGAAUGAUGAGUUCCACUCAGUAGAUGAUUAAAUGCCUGGGGAUGAGAAACCUGAAGCUUGUGAAUUUUAAGCUAUUAAUUGUUCACUUGAACCGCUGUGGAAGCUUGAAGAAUUUGUACCUCAACACACCAAAUCUUAAAACUUUAUACUUCCAUGGACCGCGUGGCAAACCAUGCACGAUUGAGCUUAUUAAUUGCAAAAAGUUAAUGAAUUUGCAUUUAGUUGGGGUUGCUAUGAACACUACGAUGUUCGUAAACUGCAACGAAAGUUUUCCGCUUCUUCAGAUGUUGACACUUGCUGGCUGUGCUAUGAGUGGAUGUAUUAACAUCUCAAGGUGUGAUGCAGCUGAUGGGUUUUUAAGUGAUUGGUGGGGGGUAUUCUGGGACCAUUAUACUUCAAAGACACAUGCUGAUUCUA